rnacentral:rRNA from 1 species
UACAGAGGGGGCAAGCGUUGUUCGGAAUUACUGGGCGUAAAGGGCGCGUAGGCGGCCUGUUAAGUCGAACGUGAAAUCCCCAGGCUCAACCUGGGAACUGCGUCCGAUACUGGCAGGCUUGAAUCCGGGAGAGGGAUGUGGAAUUCCUGGUGUAGCGGUGAAAUGCGCAGAUAUCAGGAAGAACACCGAUGGCGAAAGCAGCUCUCUGGGACGGUACUGACGCUGAGGCGCGAAAGCGUGGGGAGCGAACAGG